ensembl:lncRNA
UCACUCUUUUCAGACCUUUUACUUUAUUCUGCAAAAUGACAAAAAGUUAUACAAAACUUUUGAGCUCAUUUGACAAUUGUAGAUACGUCUCAGAAGUAAAAGUGGGUUUCAGUUGGUAUUAAUUGUGGCCUUUUAAUAACAUGAGAUCUUUAUCCUCUUCAGGUUUCAUGGCGUCAAAUGAAUUCUACUUUUGCCCCUAAUUUUGUAAGGACCGUUUAUUUUCAGACAAGCAACAAUGUUGGAAUCAAUUCAAAUUACUAACCUCUACUAAUGAAUGUCACAUAAAGUAUCAUCCCCCUGAUAAGCAAUGCUGGAAAUCUGGUAAUGGAUGAAGGGAAGGCUGAGGUACUUAACAACUUUUUCCCCUCAAUCUUCAAUGGCAACUUCUCUUUCAGAGUUAAGUGCCUCCACUGAAAACUGAAGAUGGGUAAUUUUCAGAUCAGAUAGGAAGGAAUUCUUUACUGUGAAGAACUGGCACAGGUUGCCCAGAGAAGCUGUGGAUGAUCUAUCCCUGGAAAGGCUCAAGGCCAGAUUGGAUGGGGCUCUGAGCAACCUAGUCUAGGGAAAGGUGUCCCUGCCCACAGCAGGGGGAGUUGGAAUGAAAUGACUUAACAACCCAAACUAUUCUAUGAUUCUAUGAUUAUAUUCUAUUCUGUGGCAGACCUUGUUAGUUUUGUAUCUCAUUUAGUCUCUGAGAUGAUGGGAAUAUCCCAGCAAUUCCAUGAAGAAUUUGUGAGCACUCCAGGCACUGUGGAUGAAACAUGCCAUUACUGCAAUUCUUACAAUGCCAUGUCAUGGAAGCAUUCUCAAGUCAAGUAAGACUCAUAUAAGUGACUAUUAAAAGCUGAGCUACACUUAAAAAUUACCCUUAAACAAUGUGAGAAUUUCAAACCAAACAGAGUCAAAUUUUAGAGAAGAUUCCCAGCUGGAUACCCAGGCCUUCAGCUGUGGUCCUCCCGCCCACCCUUUCACGUGGAGGUGGCAGGAGUUUGAGGAAUACAGAUGCAGAAAACUGCUCCCUUUUCACACUGUACCAAGAAGUGAGGCAGCUCCUAUUAGAACUGGAUAAGGACUUUUUGAUUGUCUAGUUUCUAGAAAAGGAGGCUAAGGGAGGAUGUCACUGUUCUCUACUGCUUCCUGAGGAGGGAAAGUAGAGGGGAAGGUACUAAGCAUUUCUCCCUGGGAUACAGUGAGAUAUGGUCUGGGAAUGGUGUCCAAAGUUGCAUCAAGGGAGAUCCAUGAAUGGCAUUAGGAAACAUUUCUUUACCAAGAGGUCUGCAAUAGGCCUCCUAGAGAGGUGGUUGAUGUCCCAGACCUGUCAAUAUUUAAGAGGCAUUUGGAAGUGGCCUUAGUAAUGUGCUCUAGAUUUUAGAGAGUCCAGAUGGUUGUUGUAGGUCCCUUCCAACUAAAGUAUUCUAUUCUAUUCUGUUGGUCUAUUCUGUUCUAUUCUAUUCUAUUGGAAAGUGCACAUACAGGAAAAUAUGGAGAGUAAGGGAUUGCAGCAUCACACAUCCUCUGGGGAAUUGCCACAGUCCCAUUUUGAAGAUGCCUUUUCAGGCCACUUGAGUGAAAGCAGUGGUGAACUCUGGGGAUGGGGAUGAGGAUGGCACCACGUACUGCCAAGGGCUCUUCACAGCUCCUGAGAGCCACUUCUCCAAAAAGAUGUAUUUUGAGGAAAGACAUUGAUGAGCACCUUAAGAAAUCACUGGCUUCUUUUGUGUUUUAUAUUAGGCUACCGCUUGGUGGUGUUUUUUUUCUUUAGACCAAUGAAACCAGACAGAAAAUGGUGACAUUUCAAAUUUUGGGAUGUUAAUGACUUGACUAUAAUUGCCUUUCAUCAAGUAUACAGGGCACUGAACACUUGGUCUGUCAGGGUACACCAAGGGCUGCUGCCCCAUGGGAGAAGGUCAGCCAGGAGCUGAGUACUGUCUGUGGUCAUCAGAUUUUUUGCCUUGCUCUGUAAAUUGCAAAUACACUACAGUGCACUGUUUCAAGGAGUUUCACAGCUGGACUCUUUUUUUUUUCCUAAAACCAAAAGAAUCUAAUAUUGUAUGUAGCACCAUAUCAGGGUCACUUGGGCCAUAUAAACAGUCUCAAGAAAUAACACCCCGGGUUUGUGUAAAUGGUCGUAUACUUUCAAUCUAAGCUUGUAGUGAGGUUUGCAUAAUUGAAUAGUACUUUUGGAUGUGAUAUAUUUCUCUUUGUGAUCUUUAAAACAGGAGAUGGGUAUAUACUGGAAAGAGGCUUAUAAAACUUAAAAAGCAACAAAGGAUGCAAAAUCCAUUUGCUGAUGUUUGCACAGAUCAGUGAAACUCUACAUAAAUAUUAUUAUACAAUCAGAUAGAAAUAGUGCGUUGGCUGAUGGUGAAACAGAAAGGAAAAUGUAAAACAUUCAGCACUGAGAUUUCUUAAAAACCAUUUUGGGAAAUGCUUAGUUUCUGAUGGAAAAUGUAGAUUUCAUAUUCCACUAUUGUGUUUAUUUUAUUGGUUAGGCAGGCUUUAGCAUCAUUCUCAUCAAUCACAUAGUCUGAGAAAAAUCAGCUGAAAAUAAGGUCAAUGAGACAAAGAGAAAUAGCUCAUUGUUCAGGAAAUUUCUUUUUUUUCCCUGUCUGAUUAGCUGUAUUUUUGCUAUAGCUGAAUUGUCAGCUAACUAUCAGCUAAUGCCCCAAACCUGCAAAUACAUAUUCAUAUGCGUAUUAACUGUAAAGGAACUUAGACCCUUAAUCUGAGUUAUGUACAUGAAUAGUCUCAGCAGAGUGAGCUUCUAAAUUAUGUCCUGGGGUGUAUUAUACAAUGUCAGCAGGGGUAUAAAAAUGAUAGUUGUGUGGUCUCACUUUGAGUUUGAAUCUCCUCAAAAUAUAUAUGUCUGACAUGGUUUUCUUUUAGCUAAUGCAAACAUUUCAUAUACUUCUCAGUUUUCUGACAUUUGUUUGAAUAUGCACUGCUCUAAAUGAUGGAACUUUGUCCCACAGAAUUCCAGAAAUAAUGGUAUAAAAUUACUGCUAACUAUGUGCACUGGAUGCAAAGAAAACUACUGACUCUUGUGAGCUUUUCCUGCUCACAAGAAUGGAAUAAUACAACACUGACAAUAUAAUCUUAAUUCCUUUCUUUUGCAUCCAAUUGCAUCCAUUUGCAGCACCAAUGCUUUUGCAUUAGCCAUCAUUAUCACAGAAACAAGAAUAGCAUCUGCAAAACUAAAAUUGAAUUCUUUGGUUGGGGGGGGGGGGUGUGGGGGGUGUGGGGAAAGAAACACAUUAAAAUUUGAAAACAUAUAUAGUAAAUUUUAAUCCAUACUUUAAAUUGACAAAGCCAGAAUUAUUUAUAAAGACUUUCCCAUCAAGUUUGCAGGAAAUAAAGGUGAGAAAUCACACCCUGCUGCACAAACAUUUUAUUACAUUUACCCACCACCAAUAUCAAUCCACCAUAGUACCACUGCUCCUCAAGAAGUAAGUGCUGGGGAAAGCAGCCACAGUGCAUUACCUGUGGCUGCCCAUGGCUCCCGUGUGGUGUUGCUUGCUAAUGAUCCCUUAACACCUUGAUGGCAGAGACUCACAGCACUCAAGGCUUGUUAUGGUGACAGCUUCAUGAUAUCAAGGCCAAAUGAAAGUAUUAUGACACUUAUGAUGUUCCUGAAGACUUGGCUUCGGGAGCCAUUUGAGUUUAACAAAGUCUCAGCGUCAUAAAAGAAGUCUGCCUCAGUCUGAAUGGUGACUGAGUCUGUGGAGAAGAACCUGGAGUUCAGGUUAUUCACUUGCAUUUGCCAGGCUAUGAGGAAUGAUGGGUGGGAAAAGGGGCUCCCAUAAGUGCAGGUGGCCUUGUCAUUGUCAGCCAGAAACGGAUGUCCUGCUGCUAUUUCUGCCGUGCAAGAGUGACAUGGUUCCUUAUUCUAGGAAAUUAGGAAAGUCCAGAGCUGUUUAUUUCCCUCAGGGGGAAGGAAGUUCUGCAGCUGCCACAAGAGGCUCAUGGGUCACCUUCAGCUGAACUGGGACUGGUUGCAGAAGAAGGGGUCCCAGUGGGCAUAGUGAAGUUCCUUUUUAUCAACAAGGCAGGAUGUCCUCUCACUCUACAGAGCUUGACUUGGUAUCCAGGCUUUGCACAAAACACUUACAGCCCAGCCCCACCCCCUGGGUGUCACAGAGGCUGUGUCAGUGUGGGACCACACAAGGAGAAUGGUGUGUGAUGUGCCAUGGUGUGAACAGGCACUCUCCAGGUGACAGCUCCAUUAUGUAAAGCUGGAUUGUUGGAAACAGUUGGGUGCUUUCAGCUCUACAAAUUGCCUUUCACAGUUUGAGCCCCCAGGUGAAAUGCAGAUAAGCAAACCUAAUGCCUGAGACGAGGAAGGUCUUACUGAACACCAGAUGGUUCAUAUGGAGAUAAAUGCAUAGGGAAGCAUGUGGGAUUUCAGUCUGGUGUGGAGGUUUCCACACUGAAUAGGUUUUGUUUCUCUUGGAUCAGUGGUGGGGAAAGAAAGCUACACUGAGUUUAUAAGAUCUGGGAUGAGCCUCCAAAACACACAGGCAGGCAUGGAAGCAGUGCAGGUUCUGCAGAGUGUCUGCAGUGCAUCUGCUGGAAAUAAAGGUAAAUAGAUUUUUUUGUUGUUGAUGUCGCAUUAUGCGCUACUUCAUAAAUUUGUAAAUCUUUGUAAAUCUGUGCAUUCUGUUUCAGAGAAGACAAAGCCUCUCAGUAAACAAGAGGUGCUUACAUUUAUGUGCACUGCGUUCCUGGGCUGCCAAACAAAUUCUCUUGGGAAAUGAGCCUCUCAGAGUCCUGGUCAGUGUUUUCUUUGGAGGACUGCUGCUGAAAUAUUUUCAAUGAGAUUUUUUCUUUCAAUUAGACAUAUUUCUUCCAGAAACUUUCCAAGGAACAAUAAUAUUUUUUCUCCAAAAUAUUGGCUAUCGGGAAAUAAAGUACUCCAGCUAGACACCAAACAAAUUAGUAAAUUCUGCAGUGCUGCCUCCCUGUAAUUCUAAUUCAGUUAAUUUUUAUCCUUUCCCUCUAUUGGCCAAGUUCUCUGCAUAUGCCAUAGUUCACACAGAAAUGGUAAUUCUGACUCAGAAGAGAUGAGACCUCUUGACAGAGAUGAGAUCUUGGGGCAUUUGGGGUGAGCUCCAGUGUAUAGAUAAAUGGAAGUAUAAGACACAUUAAGCAAUGCUUGAAGUUAGGUUGGGAUGUAAUUGAAGCUUUCAUUUGUAUUUUGAUACCUGUUGAAUCAAAAUUUUACCUGUAGGCCACGGGUAGGAUUUAUCUGGGCAUUCACAAAGUGAAGUAUCCCCUAGAUUAUUAGACACUAACAUGAUGAUCAUGAUUUACUGUCCUUAAAAUAAUAAAACUCAGGCCCACAGUAGAUUGUUACACCACAAAACAACUGCUUCUAGAGGCUGCCAGGCUGGGUUUGUGUUCAAACUCUCCUCAGGCACAAUGAGCCACACAUUGCUGCAGAGUGCAGGUGGAAGGAGCAGAAGGUACAUUACUGAAAGGACUGCCCUGAGAGCCAACACGGGAUGAUACAUUCCUGUAUAAAGAUGGGGUUCCCGAGAUGUUGAGUUUUCAGUGCUGUUGUAGGAGCCAAAUUGGAGGGCAGUAAUCUGUCUGUUUUCUUUCUCCCAGACCUCUGUUGUACAUAAUAAAUAGUUUUAUCUUCUUCUUUCUUGAAAAUCUUCUGUAGCCACCAGCCAACACAACAGAUAAUAAUGGGGUCAGUGUCAUCUUUCUGUCACCUCCUGAAAAUAUGUUUCAUUCCCAUGACACAGACCACCAAACUACAUAGGAUAUGUGAUUGUAUUCUUAGUUGCCUGAAACAACUAAGGAACUAAUUAAUAAUAAUAUAUUAUUAUGAUAUUAAUUUCCUUCUACUCAAAUGCAAAGAUGAAAGUUCCUGUCACAAAUGGACUAAUACUUCAUUUUUAAAAAUUUACUUUGGAAACUGUUUGCAUUACAUACAAGUCAAGCCAAAAAUGAGAUUGUUGGAUUUUUCCUUGCCAAAGCAGAUUUACCAUUCAAUUCUUGUAAUGAGAAGUUUUAUUCAACUGUUUAUGGAGCAGUUACUGACUAUAAGGUAUCUGUGACAUAUAUAUUACCUAGUCCAAUAUUUCUUAUAGGUGCAUGCUGAUAACUGCUCACAUAAAAAAAGCAUGAGGGUAAUUUGGCUCCAGCUGUCACUGAGCCAAGAGCAGGCCUGCCCACAGCUGCCUGGGUAGGCACAACUUCAGAUUCUUGUAUAAAAUAUUCCUCUUCCACUGUCAUUCUUGAAAACAUACUGUUCCCAUAUCAGUGUUCAUGAAUACCAAAUAAAAGGUAAAGAAAUUGCCCUCAAAGGAAACUCUUCAUUUUAUUUAAAUGAAUCCUUAAUGAAUCUACUUUAGAAGAAAUUGCCCUGAGAUAUUUCUAGAACUAUCUGUGAACAUAAACCUGUAAAAUUAAAAUAUUAAAUGUUAAACUUUUUAUGGAAUAGGAUAAACUUUUCUUCCUCUUCCACAGGAAUCAAAGUCUUGUGGCAAAGCACACUGCACACAGCUGCUGCUGGUGGGAGGUGAUAGCUGCACCUGGACACACUGCCUACAUCAGGACUAACAGGCAAAGUACAGCAGAGAAAGCAUGGAAUCCUGAGGCCCUUGAUCCACCAUUUCAGCUUAUUUGGAGUAUUUGCCAUUCCUGACUUGCUGAAGGU